GACGAACGCUGGCGGCGUGCCUAAUACAUGCAAGUCGAACGAACUCUGGUAUUGAUUGGUGCUUGCAUCAUGAUUUACAUUUGAGUGAGUGGCGAACUGGUGAGUAACACGUGGGAAACCUGCCCAGAAGCGGGGGAUAACACCUGGAAACAGAUGCUAAUACCGCAUAACAACUUGGACCGCAUGGUCCGAGUUUGAAAGAUGGCUUCGGCUAUCACUUUUGGAUGGUCCCGCGGCGUAUUAGCUAGAUGGUGAGGUAACGGCUCACCAUGGCAAUGAUACGUAGCCGACCUGAGAGGGUAAUCGGCCACAUUGGGACUGAGACACGGCCCAAACUCCUACGGGAGGCAGCAGUAGGGAAUCUUCCACAAUGGACGAAAGUCUGAUGGAGCAACGCCGCGUGAGUGAAGAAGGGUUUCGGCUCGUAAAACUCUGUUGUUAAAGAAGAACAUAUCUGAGAGUAACUGUUCAGGUAUUGACGGUAUUUAACCAGAAAGCCACGGCUAACUACGUGCCAGCAGCCGCGGUAAUACGUAGGUGGCAAGCGUUGUCCGGAUUUAUUGGGCGUAAAGCGAGCGCAGGCGGUUUUUUAAGUCUGAUGUGAAAGCCUUCGGCUCAACCGAAGAAGUGCAUCGGAAACUGGGAAACUUGAGUGCAGAAGAGGACAGUGGAACUCCAUGUGUAGCGGUGAAAUGCGUAGAUAUAUGGAAGAACACCAGUGGCGAAGGCGGCUGUCUGGUCUGUAACUGACGCUGAGGCUCGAAAGUAUGGGUAGCAAACAGGAUUAGAUACCCUGGUAGUCCAUACCGUAAACGAUGAAUGCUAAGUGUUGGAGGGUUUCCGCCCUUCAGUGCUGCAGCUAACGCAUUAAGCAUUCCGCCUGGGGAGUACGGCCGCAAGGCUGAAACUCAAAGGAAUUGACGGGGGCCCGCACAAGCGGUGGAGCAUGUGGUUUAAUUCGAAGCUACGCGAAGAACCUUACCAGGUCUUGACAUACUAUGCAAAUCUAAGAGAUUAGACGUUCCCUUCGGGGACAUGGAUACAGGUGGUGCAUGGUUGUCGUCAGCUCGUGUCGUGAGAUGUUGGGUUAAGUCCCGCAACGAGCGCAACCCUUAUUAUCAGUUGCCAGCAUUAAGUUGGGCACUCUGGUGAGACUGCCGGUGACAAACCGGAGGAAGGUGGGGAUGACGUCAAAUCAUCAUGCCCCUUAUGACCUGGGCUACACACGUGCUACAAUGGAUGGUACAACGAGUUGCGAACUCGCGAGAGUAAGCUAAUCUCUUAAAGCCAUUCUCAGUUCGGAUUGUAGGCUGCAACUCGCCUACAUGAAGUCGGAAUCGCUAGUAAUCGCGGAUCAGCAUGCCGCGGUGAAUACGUUCCCGGGCCUUGUACACACCGCCCGUCACACCAUGAGAGUUUGUAACACCCAAAGUCGGUGGGGUAACCUUUUAGGAACCAGCCGCCUAAGGUGGGACAGAUGAUUAGGGUGGUAG
rnacentral:rRNA from 1 species